UACGAAGGGGGCUAGCGUUGUUCGGAAUCACUGGGCGUAAAGCGCACGUAGGCGGAUUGUUAAGUCGGGGGUGAAAUCCUGAGGCUCAACCUCAGAACUGCCUCCGAUACUGGCAAUCUCGAGUCCGGAAGAGGUUGGUGGAACAGCUAGUGUAGAGGUGAAAUUCGUAGAUAUUAGCUAGAACACCAGUGGCGAAGGCGGCCAACUGGUCCGGCACUGACGCUGAGGUGCGAAAGCGUGGGGAACAAACAGG
rnacentral:rRNA from 1 species